CUGGUGGCUCAGCAGUUAAGGGUCCAGCAUUGUUACUGCUGUGGAGCAGGUUCGAUCCCUGGCCCAG
rnacentral:tRNA from 1 species